UCAGGAUGAACGCUAGCUACAGGCUUAACACAUGCAAGUCAGGGGCAUCAGGACGAUAGCUUGCUAUGUUGCUGGCGACCGGCGCACGGGUGAGUAACGCGUAUCCAACUUCCCCAUAGUAGAGGAUAGCCCGGCGAAAGUCGGAUUAAUACUCUAUGUUGUAUAAUGAUGACAUCAGACUUAUACCAAAGAUUGAUCGCUAUGGGAUGGGGAUGCGUCUGAUUAGAUAGUAGGCGGGGUAACGGCCCACCUAGUCGACGAUCAGUAGGGGUUCUGAGAGGAAGGUCCCCCACAUUGGAACUGAGACACGGUCCAAACUCCUACGGGAGGCAGCAGUGAGGAAUAUUGGUCAAUGGACGGGAGUCUGAACCAGCCAAGUAGCCGUGCAGGAUGACGGCCCUAUGGGUUGUAAACUGCUUUUAUACGGGGAUAAAGUGAGGGACGUGUCCCUUAUUGUAGGUACCGUAUGAAUAAGGACCGGCUAAUUCCGUGCCAGCAGCUGC
rnacentral:rRNA from 1 species